rnacentral:lncRNA from 1 species
AUGAUUGAUAUACCUCAACUAAAGCUCGGCACUUUCGCUGGUGGUGGGGGACAUUCCAAGGGCAGGAGCAGCUGCCCCGCUCUGGAGCUGAUCCAACCGGCCCCGGCAGCCCAUGGCUGGCUGUCAAUGGUCCUGAAGACUGUGAUCCUGCUGUCCAUGGCCCUGCUGACCAUGGUCCUGCUGACCACAGUCCUGCUGUCCAUGGUCCUGCUGACCGUGAGCCUGCUGACCAUGGUCCUGCUGUCCAUGGUCCUGCUGACCGUGAGCCUGCUGACCAUGGUCCCACUGCCCACAGUCCCACUGCCCACAGUCCUGCUGACCGUGGUCCCACUGACCACAGUCCCACUGCCCACAGUCCUGCUGACCAUGAUCCCGCUGACCACAGUCCUGCUGUCCACAGUCCUGCUGACCAUGAUCCUGCUGACCAUGGUCCCACUGCCCCACUGCCCACAGCCCCACUGCCCACUGCCCCACUGCCCACAGCCCCACUGCCCACAGCCCACUGCCCACAGCCCCACAGCCCCACUGCCCACAGCCCCACAGCCCACUGCCCACUGCCCACUGCCCACUGCCCACAGCCCCACUGCCCACAGCCCCACAGCCCCACAGCCCCACAGCCCCACUGCCCACAGCCCACAGCCCCACUGCCCACUGCCCACUGCCCACAGCCCCACUGCCCACUGCCCACAGCCCCACUGCCCACUGCCCACUGCCCACAGCCCCACUGCCCACAGCCCCACUGCCCACUGCCCACUGCCCCACUGCCCACAGCCCCACUGCCCACUGCCCACAGCCCCACUGCCCACAGCCCCACAGCCCACUGCCCCACAGCCCCACUGCCCACUGCCCACUGCCCACAGCCCACUGCCCCACAGCCCCACUGCCCCACUGCCCACUGCCCAUUGUCCACAGCCCCACAGCCCCACAGCCCCACUGCCCACUGCCCACAGCCCCACUGCCCACAGCCCCACUGCCCACUGCCCCACUGACCCCACUGCCCACUGCCCCACUGACCCCACUGCCCACAGCCCCACUGCCCACAGCCCCACUGCCCCACUGCCCACUGCCCCACUGCCCCACUGCCCACUGCCCACAGCCCACUGCCCACAGCCCCACUGCCCCACUGCCCACAGCCCCACUGCCCACAGCCCCACUGCCCACUGCCCCACUGACCCCACUGCCCACUGCCCACUGCCCACUGCCCACUGCCCCACAGUCCCACUGCUCAAUUCCCACUGCCCACAGCCCCACUGA